GGGGAGGGGGCCAAGCUCAGCCUUUCCCGAACCGCCGUUUGUCUAGAGCGUGAAAUGGAGCGGGUCGCGCGACCCGGAGCUCCUGAAGGAAGAAGGCAGCGUGGUGGCCCCACCCCGAGUCCCUGGCAGCCCAGCCCCGGCGAAGGGUGAAGAAGCCUGGGUCCAGAACUAGGUGGUCAGGGAGUCAGGCAGCAGGAAGCCCCGGAGCCGGCUCUCCCGGGUGCCUCGCGCCGCCCGGCGCCGCCCAGCGCCCUCUGCCCUGGAAGGUGCAGAGGUGGGGCAGAGGGACCCUGGACCUGCAGACUUUCGGGGUCUGGGUGGGGGCAAGAGCGUUCCGAUGGCGCCUCGGCUCGCGCUUAGAGAUCCUGCGCCCGCUCACUCUGCAGCGCCAGCCUCGGGAUUAGGGGCGAGGAGCGUAGUGCGGAGCUGUGUACAGAAGAGCGUGCGGCCGGAGGAGACCGCAGUCUCGCCGCAAGGGAGCCUCCUUAAUGAGAAUUUGACAUCAAGAAUGACAUCUUUGAGACCAGCCUGGCCAACAUGACGAAACCGUCUCUACUGAAAAUACAAAAAUUAACCGGUCAUGGUCGUGCGUGCCUGUAAUCCCAUACUCCGGAGGAUCGCUUGAGCCUGGGGGGCAGAGGUUGCAAUGAGCCGAGAUCAUGCCACUGCACUCCAGCCUGGGCGACAGAGACUCCAUUUCAAAAGAAAAAAAAAAAAAAAAGACAUCUUUCAGUUUUGAAAGGCCCCAGAUUGACACUUGUAAUAUGAAUGUCACAUUCUGGGACAUAGCCCAUCCCAGAAAGUGGCUGAAAAAACUUCUGUAUAUUUACUCUGUAUUAUUAUAGUCAUCUGAAAAAAAAAAUUGUAAACUUUGGUGGGGUUGAUAUUUUAAAAUUAAAUUUAAUUGGAGUUCA